CGGUCCAGACUCCUACGGGAGGCAGCAGUGGGGAAUAUUGCACAAUGGGCGCAAGCCUGAUGCAGCCAUGCCGCGUGUGUGAAGAAGGCCUUCGGGUUGUAAAGCACUUUCAGCGGGGAGGAAGGCGGUGAGGUUAAUAACCUCAUCGAUUGACGUUACCCGCAGAAGAAGCACCGGCUAACUCCGUGCCAGCAGCCGCGGUAAUACGGAGGGUGCAAGCGUUAAUCGGAAUUACUGGGCGUAAAGCGCACGCAGGCGGUCUGUCAAGUCGGAUGUGAAAUCCCCGGGCUUAACCUGGGAACUGCAUUCGAAACUGGCAGGCUAGAGUCUUGUAGAGGGGGGUAGAAUUCCAGGUGUAGCGGUGAAAUGCGUAGAGAUCUGGAG
rnacentral:rRNA from 1 species